GGGGAUGUAGCUCAAAUGGUAGAGCGCUCGCUUAGCAUGCGAGAGAUACAGGGAUCGAUAUCCUUGCUUCUCCA
rnacentral:tRNA from 1 species